GGUGGAUUUACCAGCAGGUGUGAAGCAGCAUGAAAACGUAUUAAAAUUCCAUACAAAGUGAAGCGGAAAAAGCAAAGACUCCAGCCAGACAGACUGGGCUACUAAAAGGUUAUGCUGGGACGUGUAGUAAAUCAAAGGGAAGGGAUAAACCAUCAAUUCACUGACAGCAGUUGUAAGGCAUGCAGGUUGCAGGUGGAUACACUCAAUGCUCAUAAAGACACCAGAGAACAAGGAUCUAUCAAAGUCUGACCUUCACAACAUAUGAUUGCCGAAGUGUAUCAUGGCACGACAAGAUUUCUGAGGACCUUAGAAGUAGGGUUGUUGGUGUUCAUCAGGCUGGAAAAGGUUACAGAACCAUCUCUAAAGAGUUUGGACUCCACCAAUUCACAGUUAGACAGCUUGUGUACAAAUGAAAGAAAUUUAAGACCAUUAUUACCGUCCCCAGGAGUGGUCUACCAACAAAGAUCACGCCAAGAUCAAUAAUCCGUGAAGUCACAGAGGAAUCCAAAGUAGCCUCUGAGCAACUAAAGACCUUUCUCAUAUUAUCUAAUGUUAAUGCUCAUCAGGACACUAAACAACCAUGGUGUGCAUGGUGGAAAUGCAAGGAGAAAGCUGCGGCUUUCCAAAAAGAACAUUGAUGCCCAUUUGCAAAAGAUCAACUGGACAAGACAGAAUGCUAUGAAAGCAUCAAAAUAGAACCUUUUGGUUUAAGUCAGAAGUGCUGUGUUUGGAAAAAGAAAAAGACUACAUUCCAGCAUAAAAACCUUAUCCCAUCUGUGAAACACAGUGGUAGUAAUAUCAUAGUUUAGACCUAUUUUGCUGCAUCAGGGACAGGAUGGUUUGCCAUCAUUGAUGGAACAAUGAAUUCUGAAUUAAACCAGCAAAUUCUAUAGCAAAUUGUCAAGACAUUUGUCCGUGAGCUGAAUCUCAAGAGAUUUAAUUGUGCCAUUACUCUGUUAUUCCACCUGAAAGUGUAAGAAUAUAUUGACAAUUGGGUGUGUCCCUGUACAGUCUGACAUUGACAGCACUAAUUAGACAGUGUCAGAGAGUGUAGGGACACGCACCCCAAAUUUCAAUAUCCAGUUGUCAUUCUAUUCCUACAUUUCUAAGAGGAAUGAUAGAAAAAACAUGUAAUACAGCAUUCAGAAUUGUUACUUUUUACUAUAACAGUGGCCCCCUUGCCUGCCGGGCUUUUGUGCAGUUUCAGUUUGUGCAGGACUUUGUUUAUCUCUGGUUGGAACAUCAAUAUGGCGAUUUGAAUUCACAUCAUCUUCAUGACAACGUCACGCCUAAUAUAAACUGGAACAACAAAUGUCAUGAGGAUCUUUCAGCAUUACAACCCCAGACCAAGCAAUAUACACCACCACACGUUCAGUAUACUAUGAGGCACAGGGUUCUGGAUGCUUAAUAUAUAUUUGUUAGGAUCAAUGUAAUAUAAUGAAUUUUAUAGAUGCAUUGGAUGAUUGGAAGCUGAAUAUGCCACUGAUCACUGAUCCUUGAAUACAUGUAUAUACUUCUGCCCUCCAAUGCGUACACUGCUGAAAUGGUUUAUGCUGAUUUAUGGUAAGGCUGACGAAUAGUUUGCCUUUCAUAAUAGGAUUAGUAAAGAUUGUGGCUGCUAAGGACUAUAUGACUAAAGUAGAUUACCGCUGCAUGGUUCCAGUAUCACUAAAGCACGAUCUAAGAGUCCAAAUAACUUUGCUAAUGGGUAUCUUACACAAUAAUUUCUCAUACUUGAGUAGCCAUGGUAUUGAGAUGUGAGCCCAACAUGUACAGAGAGUCAUUGUCUUGUGCAGAUUAAACCAUUGGUAUAUGCUGCUCAUAGCAACCAAUUGGCCUAUUGAGUAGAUGACAGCUACUUUUUUUCAUUGUACUAUGUGUAACUAAUAUUCUGAGUAUGUUGAAACUUACUGUAUUUUUUGGUUUGGAAUGUACAUAAAGUAUAUAAUAAUAUA